GAUGAACGCUGGCGGCGUGCCUAAUACAUGCAAGUCGAGCGAACAGACGAGGAGCUUGCUCCUCUGACGUUAGCGGCGGACGGGUGAGUAACACGUGGCUAACCUACCUAUAAGACUGGGAUAACUUCGGGAAACCGGAGCUAAUACCGGAUAAUAUAUUGAACCGCAUGGUUCAAUAGUGAAAGACGGUUUUGCUGUCACUUAUAGCUGGAUCCGCGCCGCAUUAGCUAGUUGGUAAGGUAACGGCUUACCAAGGCAACGAUGCGUAGCCGACCUGAGAGGGUGAUCGGCCACACUGGAACUGAGACACGGUCCAGACUCCUACGGGAGGCAGCAGUAGGGAAUCUUCCGCAAUGGGCGAAAGCUUGACGGAGCAACGCCGCGUGAGUGAUGAAGGUCUUCGGAUCGUAAAACUCUGUUAUUAGGGAAGAACAAAUGUGUAAGUAACUAUGCACGUCUUGACGGUACCUAAUCAGAAAGCCACGGCUAACUACGUG
rnacentral:rRNA from 1 species